AAUAGAUGAGCCUAAGUCAGAUUAGCUAGUUGGUGGGGUAAAGGCCUACCAAGGCGACGAUCUGUAGCGGGUCUGAGAGGAUGAUCCGCCACACUGGGACUGAGACACGGCCCAGACUCCUACGGGAGGCAGCAGUGGGGAAUAUUGGACAAUGGGCGAAAGCCUGAUCCAGCCAUGCCGCGUGUGUGAAGAAGGCCUUUUGGUUGUAAAGCACUUUAAGCGAGGAGGAGGCUACCGAGAUUAAUACUCUUGGAUAGUGGACGUUACUCGCAGAAUAAGCACCGGCUAACUCUGUGCCAGCAGCCGCGGUAAUACAGAGGGUGCGAGCGUUAAUCGGAUUUACUGGGCGUAAAGCGUGCGUAGGCGGCUUUUUAAGUCGGAUGUGAAAUCCCUGAGCUUAACUUAGGAAUUGCAUUCGAUACUGGGAAGCUAGAGUAUGGGAGAGGAUGGUAGAAUUCCAGGUGUAGCGGUGAAAUGCGUAGAGAUCUGGAGGAAUACCGAUGGCGAAGGCAGCCAUCUGGCCUAAUACUGACGCUGAGGUACGAAAGCAUGGGGAGCAAACAGGAUUAGAUACCCUGGUAGUCCAUGCCGUAAACGAUGUCUACUAGCCGUUGGGGCCUUUGAGGCUUUAGUGGCGCAGC
rnacentral:rRNA from 1 species